AUUGAACGCUGGCGGCAGGCCUAACACAUGCAAGUCGAGCGGAUGAAGGGAGCUUGCUCCUGGAUUCAGCGGCGGACGGGUGAGUAAUGCCUAGGAAUCUGCCUGGUAGCGGGGGAUAACGUCCGGAAACGGGCGCUAAUACCGCAUACGUCCUGAGGGAGAAAGUGGGGGAUCUUCGGACCUCACGCUAUCAGACGAGCCUAGGUCGGAUUAGCUAGUUGGUGGGGUAAAGGCCUACCAAGGCGACGAUCCGUAACUGGUCUGAGAGGAUGAUCAGUCACACUGGAACUGAGACACGGUCCAGACUCCUACGGGAGGCAGCAGUGGGGAAUAUUGGACAAUGGGCGAAAGCCUGAUCCAGCCAUGCCGCGUGUGUGAAGAAGGUCUUCGGAUUGUAAAGCACUUUUAGUUGGGAGGAAGAGCAGUAAGUUAAUACCUUGCUGUUUUGACGGUACCAACAGAAUAAGCACCGGCUAACUUCGUG
rnacentral:rRNA from 1 species